GUAUGUAUGUAUGUGUAUCUGUAUAAAAGUGUGCGCAUAUGUAUAUUAUAUGUAUAUAACGUGUGUGUGAGUAUGUGAACAUAGAAUAAAAGCAGUAUAGUAGACAGAUACAGACAGAUACAGACAGACAGACAGACAGAUAGACAAUAAGACAGAUAGAAAUAAGAUAAAGAUUUGGCGAAAGUGAGAAAGAUAGAGCAGAGAGGAGCGCUUACAGCUUGGUCUGUCGAACUCUUGCUGUAGGGUACUGGUAUCAAACGUUCCUGCAACUCGCCACCUAUUACCUUCAAGAGCAAAGGAUAAUAUCAUGGUUAUAACUAGAUGCAACGAGCGGUUUUAACGCGCUUAUUAGCAGUACAGACACUUUCUCGAAAUGUCAGUAAAAUCGUAAAGAGAAGAGAGAGAUAAAGAGAGAGAUAGAGAGAAAAAAAAAGAAAAAGAAAAGAGAUGUAACUCUUUGUUAACGUUCCUAAACCUUUGGUCCAGUUUCGAAUAGCUCUCUGCCUGUAGGCACCUUUUAACUGACUGAGGUUAUCUCUCUUUGAAAUUUCCCUGAAAGUGAAAAAAAAAAAAAAGAAAAAGAAUUGAGCUUGAAAGGCCGAUAACCAAGACGAUCGUCUCCGACCCACACUUGAAAAUUUCGUUCAGACUUGUUUGUGAAACUGAUUGAAAGGGACAACCGUCUCAGUCAUGUUUUUUUUUUCUUCUUCUUUGGGAAGUGCUUUCGCUGACAAAGUAUUUACCGAUACGGGAAGCAAAGACUCAGAGAUAGCGAAGCUAAAAAGUGCCUGAUCAUCGAGUGAUUUACUGAGAAAGAAGAUCGUAACGAUCACGCUUAAAAAAUAGUUUCUUGCUGUUUUUUCUUUUCUUCGUAUAAUUAUAUAUAUAUAUAUAGAUAUCGUUCACGAGACGUGAAUAUAUCGAGGAAUGUGUGAGAAUCCCGUGUGAAAUGUAUGGGGCGGGGGGAGAAAAAGAAACUCAAAAAAAGAUAACAGAGAUUGACAAGCGAAAAAACCGAGGAUAGAGCUCUCAUGCAACGUAAGGCAUAAACGUAUUUCCCGAAUGGACAAAGUUCCUCGUACGAUGUACGCUUUCGUUCGUCACCUCGAGGGCCGAGGUGAUCGUCGAGGCGAGAAAUCUCUAGGAAUGUGCGCGUGUACGUAUUCCCCUUGUCCCAUUGUCUUGUAACGUUAACUUCGAAAAGUUCAUCCUGAUUGAACCGAUUGAUCCGUCCAACGAGAGAAAGAGAGAGAGUGAGAGAGAGAGGGAGAGAAAGAGAGAGAGAGAGAGAGAUGAAUUUCAUCCACUUUUCUGCGAAAAAUUCGAACGUUUCAAACGCGAUGGCUCACAAAAUAAGGACAGGCACAGGAGGAGAGUUACGUACGUGUAACAAUGAUCUUUUCUUUUUCUUUUUUUCAUUACACGACGUAAUGGCAGAGCAUUUCAUGGACAGUGCCAAGAAAUGGUAAAAGAACACUGAUUAGAUUAAGCUUGAACACAGGCAUCGACAAAAUAUCCUCCCCCCAGACGAUAAAACAGAUAAAGCGAAUAGAACAGAUCAGAAACGAGAAAAAAUUCAAAAAUUCGCUGGAAAAUGUGUUUGCAGACUUUUUUGGGAUUUAUAUCCCGAAUAUACUGCCGUAGCCAGUUGUAUUGUUGGUAGAACACCGCGUAAAUAUAUAUAUAUAUAUGUAUAAAACAUGGUAAUAGUCUAACAAAGUGACCUAACAGAAUAUACAUAGUUGAUGCAACUAUGGUAGUGUAUCAGCUAGUAGCACGGUCAAUGCGUGGUCCGACGUGGACUCGCUACAAAAUACACAAUUUCACUUGGAGAAACGUCGAGUUCAAUAACUCCUCUUUGCAGCUUUUCAAUGUUUGUUUAAAGAGCAGAGGAUUUCAGAUUUCAACGCUGGCCUCGAGGAUCUUUUAUUUCAAAAGCUACGCGAGCACUAAGUUUAUAAAUAUCGCACAGUCCAUUUGAGAAGGUAAAAUAUCUUGUUACGUGUCCAGUGCUUUGCUUUGUUUCUUAAUAAUGCGAAUGAAAAUGAAAUGUGAUGUCGAGACAAAAUCAACUCGUUCUGUUAAUUGUGCACAAGUCACAAAACGCGUUGGUCUUGUGCUGGUACUGUGCAGUAGACUUGUGCAAUAUUGCAUGAACUUCAAGAGCGCACAACUUUCAAAAUAACAAUCCAACGAGCCAAAGAACUAUCAUAUCUUUCUUUUUUUUUUUUCACAGGCAUUCAACGCUUUAAAGCUAUCUCGAAGAGCAACCAACGAAUAUCGGUGAACCCUGCAACAGAACUGAUCACAGGUGCGUGUGUUUGGUUUCAAGGUGCGGAAGUUCUAUUGUGCGGAUCAAGUUCAAUUAAUUAAGAAAUAGAACCAGGGACUCUGGGAAUCCCUGCGAAGGUAAAUCGAUUUGCGAGCGAGAGUGGCGACUUACGCGACUACGACACGAAAGGUGAGAGAAAAUGUUUAGGUGAGCGUGAAGAAAGAAGAAAAGAAAA